AUGUUCUCUGUAGCUCUGAUGCUGCUGCUGGCAGCUGGAUCCUGUGUUCAUGGUCAAACCUUGACAGAAUCAGGACCAGUGGUUAAAAGACCUGGAGAAUCCCACACACUGACCUGUACCGCUUCUGGACUGACGCUGAGAGGCAACUACAUGGCCUGGAUCAGACAGGCUCCUGGGAAAGGUCUGGAGUGGAUUGCAUGGCACGACAGCAGCAGUGGUUCCAGGAGAUUCUACUCUCAGUCAGUUCAAGGCCGCUUCACCAUCUCCAGAGACGACAGCAGACAGCUGCUGAAUCUGCAGAUGAACAGUCUGAGGACUGAAGACUCUGCUGUUUAUUACUGUGCUCGUGAUACACAGAGAUAG